CAGUAAGGUAUUGCUCCUGUCGGAGGUGGGGUUGGUGCACACAUCACCGAUGGGUAACACAUUCCUAUUACGAAUGGGUAACAAAUUGCUGCCCUGGGUACAGAGGAAGUAAUUGUGACACACCAAUUUGUAGUUGUCAAAAUCAAGGAGUGUGUGUAGCCCCUAACGUGUGUAGAUGUCCUUUGAAUUCGGGGUAUACAGGAAACUCUUGUCAAACACCAAUCUGUUAUCCCAAUUGUCAGCAUGGCUAUUGUAGUAGACCUAACACAUGUAGUUGUUACCAGGGAUAUACAGGAUCACGCUGCUCACAACCUGUAUGUAGUCCAGGUUGUCAAAAUGG